rnacentral:rRNA from 1 species
GAUUAGAGUUUGAUCCUGGCUCAGGACGAACGCUGGCGGCGUGCCUAACACAUGCAAGUCGAGCGGAGGUAGAUCGAGGAAGUUUUCGGAUGGAAUUGAUAUAUCUUAGCGGCGGACGGGUGAGUAACGCGUGAGCAACCUGCCUUUCACAGGGGGAUAAGACGGCGAAAGCCGUUCUAAUACCGCAUGAGACCACGGGGGAGAUUUCCCAGGGGUCAAAGGAGCAAUCCGGUGAGAGAUGGGCUCGCGUCCGAUUAGGUAGUUGGUGAGGUAACGGCCCGCCAAGCCAAUGAUCGGUAGCCGGCCUGAGAGGAUGAUCCGCCACACUGGGACUGAGACACGGCCCAGACUCCUACGGGAGGCAGCAGUGGGGAAUUUUGGACAAUGGGGGAAACCCUGAUCCAGCCAUGCCGCGUGAGUGAAGAAGGCCUUCGGGUUGUAAAGCUCUUUCGGCUGGGAAGAAAUCGCACAGGCUAAUACUCUGUGUGGAUGACGGUACCAGCAUAAGAAGCC